GCUUCGGGCGCGAUGACGGUCCAAGUCCCCUGGAAUUGGGCGUCACAGAGGGUGAGAAUCCCGUACGGGCCGAUCGUCCAACCCAUGUGAAGCUCUUUCGACGAGUCGAGUUGUUUGGAAAUGCAGCUCUAAAUGGGUGGUAAAUUUCAUCUAAAGCUAAAUACCUGUCAAAGACCGAUAGCGCACAAGUAGAGUGAUCGAAAGAUGAAAAGCACUUUGAAAAGAGAGUCAAACAGUACGUGAAAUUGUUGAAUGGGGAAGGGCUCGCGACCAGACUCGUUCGUGGGGGUUCAGCCGUCCCUCGGGGUGGUGUACUCUCCCGCGGUCGGGCCAGCAUCGGUUUCGGCGGCCGGACAAAGGCCCCGGGAACGUAGCUCCCUUCGGGGAGUGUUAUAGCCCGGGGUGCAAUGCGGCCUGCCGGGACCGAGGACCGCGCAUCUGCCAGGAUGCUGGCGUAAUGGUUGCUAGCCACCCGUCUUGAAACACGGACCAAAGAGUCGACCAACCGCGCGAGUGUUUGGAUGUUAAAUCCAAGCGCGGAAUGAAAGUGAACGCAGGUGGGAACCUUCGGGUGCACCAUCGACCGAUCUUGAUGUCUUCGGAUGGAUUUGAGUACGAGCACGGCUGGUCGGACCCGAAAGAUGGUGAACUAUGCGUGAAUAGGGUGAAGCCAGAGGAAACUCUGGUGGAGGCUCGCAGCGGUUCUGACGUGCAAAUCGAUCGUCAAAUUUGCGCAUAGGGGCGAAAGAC
rnacentral:rRNA from 1 species